GAUGAACGCUGGCGGCGUGCCUAAUACAUGCAAGUCGAGCGAACCACUGCGGUGGUGAGCGGCGAACGGGUGAGUAACACGUAGGUGAUCUGCCCAUCAGACGGGGACAACGAUUGGAAACGAUCGCUAAUACCGGAUAGGACGAAAGUUUAAAGGUGCUUCUGGCACCGCUGAUGGAUGAGCCUGCGGCGCAUUAGCUAGUUGGUAGGGUAAAGGCCUACCAAGGCGACGAUGCGUAGCCGACCUGAGAGGGUGAACGGCCACACUGGGACUGCGACACGGCACAAACUCCGGCGGGGAGCAGCAGUAGGGAAUCUUCGGCAAUGGGCGAAAGCCUGACCGAGCAACGCCGCGUGAAUGAUGAAGGCCUUCGGGUUGUAAAAUUCUGUUAUAAGGGAAGGACGACUUUAGUAGGAAAUGGCUAGAGUGUGACGGUACCUUAUGAGAAAGCCACGGCUAACUACGUGCCAGCAGCCGCGGUAAAAC
rnacentral:rRNA from 1 species